CGAGCUGGCUAAGCGGCCGCGGCUUCGGAGACAGGCCCGCUGGUCGGGUCCAGUCCGAGGUCGAGGAAAGUCCGGACUCCACAGAGCAGGGUGGUUGCUAACGGCAACCCGAGGCGACUCGCGGGAAAGUGCCACAGAGAACAGACUGCCGGCGCAUGGCUCGCCAUGGGGCCGGUGAGGGUGAAACGGUGCGGUAAGAGCGCACCAGCGCUCCGGGCGACCGGGGCGGCUCGGUAAACCCCACCUGGAGCAAGGUCAAAUGCCCGCACCCCCGUGGUGCGGGUGCGCAAGCGCAUGAGGGCUGCUCGCCCGAGCUUGCGGGUGGACCGCAUCAGGCGUCCGGCGACGGAUGUCGCAGAUGGAUGGCCGCUCACGACAGAAUCCGGCUUAUCGGCCAGCUCGCCGC
rnacentral:RNase_P_RNA from 2 species